rnacentral:rRNA from 1 species
AUUGAACGCUGGCGGCAGGCCUAACACAUGCAAGUCGAGCGAGCGGCGGACGGGUGAGUAAUGUAUGGGGACUGCCCGAUAGAGGGGGAUAACUACUGGAAACGGUAGCUAAUACCGCAUACCAUCAGCUAACCCAUAAGGGAGUAGCUUGUAGGUGAGGUAACGGCUCAACUAGGCGACGAUCCCUAGCUGGUCUGAGAGGAUGAUCAGCCACACUGGGACUGAGACACGGCCCAGACUCCUACGAAGUCAGCAGUGGGGAAUAUUGCACAAUGGGCGCAAGCCUGAUGCAGCCAUGCCGCGUGUAUGAAGAAGGCCUUCGGGUUGUAAAGUACUUUCAGUAGGGAGGCGUUACCGACAGAAGAAGCACCGGCUAACUCCGUGCCAGCAGCCGCGGUAAUUC